UAGGUCAGGUUUUCCUGUUUUUGUGUGUUAUCGGCAGCUACCCUGGCUCGACUAACGACUAUGUCGUUGUCGCUCGCUGAAAUGUCACAGUGAUUUAUCGUCCGAACGGAAUAGUCAUCGCCGAUAUUUAGAUACAAUUUUUUUCGACGAGGGAGUAUAUUUUAUGCCAUUGAUUUUACUCCAGACGGGUACGCGGUGUAUGUGGAAAAUUGGUAUGAUAUGCGUUGAUUGUAAAAGUAUUAUAAACGAUGUGGGAAUGCUGUAAAAAGAAGAUUUUAACGAAUGUUUAUUCAAUACAAAUUCCUCUUUUCUCAGAAGGAUCAAGAUUUACGUCGAAAACUACUAUAAAAUUUUGAUGGAUUUUACUUUGUAAGUCGAUUUAAUGGCUUUGAGCUAAACAAAGGUUGUAUUUGUAUUUAGCUGUAAUGUAAUAGAAGGUAGUUUAAAUGCUGUUAAGGAUAACAAAGUAAAGAUUAAACAUCUACAAUAAAUAAGUUAAGUACAAUGAACUAAGUUAUUGAUUUUGCUUUAGGUUCUAUUAAUAUACAAUUAGAAAUGAAUAGUUUUGAAGCUCACAAAGCCCUAAUAAGUAUUAUUGAUGUAUAUGCGCUAAUAGCAUAUCUCUUAGUCAA